UACGUAGGGUGCGAGCGUUGUCCGGAAUUAUUGGGCGUAAAGGGCUCGUAGGCGGUCUGUUACGUCGGGAGUGAAAACUCGGGGCUCAACCCCGAGCCUGCUUCCGAUACGGGCAGACUAGAGGUAUGCAGGGGAGAAUGGAAUUCCUGGUGUAGCGGUGAAAUGCGCAGAUAUCAGGAGGAACACCGGUGGCGAAGGCGGUUCUCUGGGCAUUACCUGACGCUGAGGAGCGAAAGCAUGGGGAGCGAACAGG
rnacentral:rRNA from 1 species